GGAUGCGAUCAUACCAGCACUAAAGCACUGGAUCCCAUCAGAACUCCGAAGGUAAGUCCUCGUGUUGCAUUCC
rnacentral:rRNA from 1 species